UUGAUUGUGCCUUCCUGUCUAGCAGAAUGGAGGUGGGACUGGAUGACCCUUGGGGUUCCCUUCCAGUUCUAGGAUUCCAUGAUCCUAGGUAGGAAACAGCAUCGUUUUGCGGCCAGGACGCAAUGAAAGAGGCAGGCUUGGGCCUCCUGUAAAGGAAUAUAUAAUAUAAUACAAUAUUUCUCUUUCUCCGGACAGCAGCACCGGCUCUUCUGUGCCAUCUCAUGAGUACCCCAAAUAGGAGCGGAAGCAUUUGGAGGACCACUCAAAAGAGAGAGACCCUUCCCCAUUAUUAGACAAAGGGGGAUUGCCAGAGAAAGGAUCUGGGGUGCCAAGCCUGGCGCUCUCUCUGCCGCAAGGAGCGCAGCCAGGUAACCUUUACGCCCACCUCAUCCCCUGCAGGUGCUGGGUCGCGCUGCUGCUAAUUUCCUCUGCUGUGCAUUUAUGAGGAGGGUCUUUUGUUAAUAAGCCCAAUCCCCAACAAGCAUCAGGCUCAACUUAAAGACAAAUAAGCCACGGAGAGAAGGGGGCAUAAGAGAAAUACAAUGAAGGGGCCUCCUCCUCACCUCCAGGGCUUCCUCGCUGAGCCCUCGAAGCAGAAGCACCACCACGUGGAUAGCGGCCCUCCGCACCUCUGCCUCAUGAUCAGUCUUCACAAUGGCUAUCAAGCAUGAAGUCACCUGCACCAAAGACAAGGAAAUGGUGAAGAAGCCCUGGCUGUGGGCUGUGGGAAAUGGUGAAGAAGCCCUGGAUGUGCCCUGGACUACUUUGUUCCUGCUUAUCUUCCUACCUAAUUGGAUUUACCUAUUUCUUUAAAGUGUUUUUUACCUUACUGCUUUUUAAUUACCUACAAUAAAGUAUUUUUUCCAUCCAA